CUCAUGGUUUCACGGUAUUGCAAUGAGAACAAUUUAAAACCCUUAGCGAGAAUCAAGUGGAGGACAAGUCUGGUGCCAGCACCCGCGGUAAUUCCAGCUCCACUAGCGUAUAUUAAAGUUGUUGCAGUUAAAAAGCUCGUAGUUGAACCUCUGUCUGGGGCUAGUUUUGGCUUUGGUCAGGCUAGUUCUAGGCAUCCGCCUACAAGACUUAGAGGGCAUUCAGUUGUUCACUAGGAGGAGUAGGCAUUUUACUUUGAAAAAAUUAGAGUGUUUAAGGCAGGCAAUCGCCCGCAUAUAUUAGCAUGGAAUAAUAGAAUAGGACACUUUUCCAUUUCGUUGGUUAUUGGAAUCGUGUAAUGAUUAAUAGGGACAGUUGUGGGCAUUUGUAUUUAAUUGUCAGAGGUGAAGUUCUUGGAUUUAUAAAAGACAAACUAACGCGAAAGCAUUUGCCAAGGAUGUUUUCAUUAAUCAAGAACGAAAGUUAGGGGAUCAAAGACGAUCAGAUACCGUCCUAGUCUUAACUAUAAACUAUUCCGACUCAAUGUUUGACUGGCUUAUAUAACCAGUUGAGCGUUGUAUGAGAAAUCAAAGUCUUUAGGUUCUGGGGGGAGUAUGGUUGCAAAGCUGAAACUUAAAGGAAUUGACGGAAGAGCACAACCAGGAGUGGAUUCUGCGGCUUAAUUUGACUCAACACGGGGAAACUUACCAGGUUAAAACAAUAGUGGGAUUGACAGUUUGAGAGCGCUUUCUUGAUUGGUUGGGUGGUGGUGCAUGGCCGUUCUUAGUUGGUGGAGUGAUUUGUCUGCUUAAUUGCGUUAACGAACGAGACCUUAACCUGCUUACUAGACUGGCGAUCAUCAAUCGUUAGCUCUUCUUAGAGGGACUUUGGUUGUUUUAACUCCAAGGAAGUUUGAGGCAAUAACAGGUCUGUGAUGCCCUUAGAUAUCCUGGGCCGCACGCGUCAUACAAUGACUAGUUCAGAAAGUUUUCUCCUGACCCGAAAGGGGAUGGGUAAUCUUGAUAAUACUAGUCGUGUUAGGGAUCGAUCUUUGCAAUUAUAGAUCUUGAACGAGGAAUUCCUAGUAAGUGCGGUUCAUCAGACCGUACUGAUUACGUCCCUGCUCUUUGUACACACCGCCCGUCGCUUCUACCGAGUGGGUGGUCCGGUGAGAUAAUUGAACUUCGCAGGUAACUGAGAGGAAAGAUUAUCAAACCUAUCCACCU
rnacentral:rRNA from 1 species